ACAUCAGCACCCUGCCCGGAGCACUUCAGAGGGGUUCGAGAACCGGCCCCGGAAUUUGGGUGCCGAGUUCCACAAACUUGAGACCUGCGGAACAAGGAAACAGAGCACCACAGACAACCUAUUUUUCAAAGGAGGAAGACUAAGGACUGGAAAAAUAUAGGGUCAACCAACAAGCAUUCACACCCAAGGCAGUGUCACUGAACAGCUGCAAGAUGGCACAGAGUUCUGUGUUCAACAAAACACAUCAUGGAAACCCGGAAACCAGUACCAUGGAGAUUCAAGAAGUACCGUUGUGUCCGUGCCCAUAAAACAGCCCCCCAAGUUGAGAAGACUUCAUCUCUGGGGGAGAGAGUAAAGUUUCACGCUUGAUAAAUUGCAGGCUUUAUAUAUUUAAAACAACUGAACAGAACACUGAGAAAUCCAACUUUCAGCCAGAACAUGGAAAUUCCUGAAAAUGUAUACAUUUAAAAAAAAGGGGAGAAGACGAGCCUUUUCAGGGAAUGGAGGGAAAACUAUGUGUUUAAGUCAAGCCCACUAAAAACCAAACAAGGGCCGAGGAGGGAGCCUCCCACAGGGAAAGGCCACCAGGAAGUGCUUGUGGAUCACCGGCCGUUGCCAUAGCCGGGGAAGAGCUGGUGGAGGACCGUCUGCAGCGGCUGGUUCACCUGCAUGGCGUAGCUCCGGCCCAGGUCGUAGCGACAGGCCGGGCAGCUGAACACCUGGGCCCGGAAGGACCUGUCCAGGCAGUCCUGCAAGACACAGCAGCAGACAAAAUCGAAGCGGGCACCGAGGGGAGCGGCUCACCGGCCCGUCCUUGAGGGACCUGAGGACCUCGCUCCACAGCUUGGCGUUGCUCCUGUCCUCCUGGAUGAGGCUGCGCUGCUGGGCCGUGAGGCUGUAGGGCUCCAGCUUGGUCCUCUUGGCCGACCGGGUCCCGGGACCUCCCUGGCCUGGGAGCGCAGAGCGGCGCUUCCAGGUAGCCCUCUGGAUACUGCAGGGGAGAAGGACCGCGAGGCAGCUUCAGGCUGCAGGCCCUGGACCGGCCAGUGGCACUGCCCCAGCGUCCCUCCCAGGCCUCCCACCACAGGCAUCUGACGCCACCCCCAAGAGCAGAGCAGCAUGGACUGGGGUGCGGUUCACCCCAGAGCCCAGGCUCCUGUGCCCAGUUGCCACCCAGGGAAAUGCAGGGGCAGGAUGUGGACGGUCCUGCCAGGCGCCACAACCGCCGCGCCUCACCCACCUCAGGACCGCGCCACCCACUGUGGGACCCACUGCGAGAUCCCCUGCCGCUGUUCCCGCUGCCGUCAGGUCCUGCCAGCAGGCGCCCGUCCCCUCCCGCCCGCAGCCCGCCAGUCCUGACCAGCCUGGUGGAUGUCACCCUAUCUGGCCCGUCACGUGACUCUCCAGUGGUUUUAUCAAGAAAUCAACCUUCACCCCAAACCCCAAGUUUUCCAUCCUGCGAGUAUCUCACGCCACCAACACGGGCGUCGAGCACAAGGCUGGAGCCCGGGAGGCCCGGGAGGCCCGGGAGACGCCGUCCUGGCCCCGGCCUUCUUCAGCUUGCUCGAGUCCCAGUGAAAGCGCUUACCAGAAGCUGACCGCCCCCACCAUGCCAUUCUUGUCCCCGGUUCCUCGGUCUCUGAAACCUCCGCUGCACGAACAUGCCCAAAGGACACCCUUGUGACCCAGGUAGGCGCCAUCGUUCUCCCUUCCACGGCCCUAGGUGCUUCCGCGGGAAGCCGUGCGCAGAGGCGAGCCGCGGGCCUCCUCACCUGUCUCUCCACACUCUGCUUGUGCCAGUCCUGCCGGCGACUUUGCUCUUAGCAGAGGGGUAAAGGGCGAUCCACGGCAGAGACCAGACCCGCGCCUGGCGCCAGCUCCUCCCACAGCCACCAGCCACGGCCUGCGCGCCCCAGGGCUGAUGCGAGACCGAAACGUCGCCUGCACCGUCAACACCACCAGCCACAGGCCUGCAGUCCAGCACGAGCUGGGGCCCAGAGCCGGCCUCUGCUGCAGCCCACGCCAGCUCCAAGACGGACUCGAGGCUGGACCUCCCGGGCCCAGGUGUGAUGUGCCCAGCCACAAGGGUCCCAAACUGGGCCCCACCGCGCCAAGUGGCAGGCCGGGCAGUGCCGGGCCCGUGGCGACCCAGCCAGACGCACCUGCAUGGUCAGCCCCAGUCUCUUGAUCCGGUCCUUCCCUUCCUUCGUCCAGGGCCCCGGCUCCUCGUCGUCCCUCCGCAAGAGGUAGCGCCACACGAGGAAGCCGGACUUGCCCUUCUCGGGCCAGUACUUGACCACCUGCGGGAGUGGGAGCGGCGGUCAGGUCGGCUGAGCGGGCGCGCCGCCUGCCAGGGCCUGGGGGGGGCCGGGCACGCUCACCUUGUAGAUGCCGUCGUAGCGGUUGCCCUCGGCGGGCGCGUACUUGCUGUGCUUCCCGCCCUUCAUGUUCCGCACCACCCUGACUGGCUUCCCCGACCGCCAGUCCUUGGCCUCGGCCCCCUCCUGGUCGUUGAUGGGGGCACUGCAGUUGAGAGCCAGCGCCCUGCAGGGAGGCGGGGCGCGUGAGGCUGGAACGCAACCGAGAGGCGCAGGCGCCCAGGCGGGAACCCGUGAGCGCGCCCGCUCGGGAAGCAGGUCUCUGCAGGGGCACCACUGGGCAGUGGGGCUGAAGGAGGGAGGCCGGGCGCCGGCAUGGUCUGCCCAGGCCUGCCGCUCCGGCUCCUCAGGAGGCCGCGGCAGGAGGAGCUCAAGUUCAAGGCCAGCCUGGGCCACUCAGACGCUAUCUCAAAACAAAAGGGCUGGGGGCGCAGCUCGGUGGAGACUUGGCGAGGCCCUGGGCUCCACUGGUCCGUUUAAGAAAAAGACCCAAAAACCAGAUAGCGAGGGAGGACACCCUGAGGAGACGAUGCCGAGACCCGAGUCAUGCCAGGGACGUAGGCCCCACAGCUCAGACCGGCAGUGUCCCCAAGGUGGAGCCAGCCCCCUCCCCCUGCCACCAGGGAGCAGCUUUCUCCCAUUGUGAGCACCUCCGGCUGCCUCCCUACCGGAGGCCAAGCAGCAGGGCCACCCAAGCAGGGACAGAAACCCCACAGCCACGGCCUAGAACUCCUGGAACUCCCUAUAAGCCGCUUCUGAGGCAUUCGCUAACGACAGAGCCGAGUGACGGGCCACCAUCACGUGCUGGAAUGGACACUGGAGCCCCAGAGCCAGCAUGGCCCUGUCCACCCGGGCCUCACACCCUGGCCUCCAGCUCAGCGUCGACUGUCCUACAGCCACGGGAGCCCGACCCAGCACGACGUCAGGAGGCCUACCGGGUGGGGUGGGGACCGCCAGGCCAGGAGGCCCCUCGGCAGUUUGGCGAGAGACCAGCACUGUCCUCCAACAGGACUGCAGAGGUUUGUGCCCAGACUCCACCCCACAGGCGACCCACGAGCAGCCCUGAUACUCCUUUCCCAACCAGGAUCACAGUCCCCAGAACGAAGACACUCCACCGAGCAAGCUCAGAGCAACCUGCUCGCCUCGGGUACUCGGUGACGGGCGCGUUGCUACCUUGGAUGAGACCAACGUCCCUGCACAGGACCUGCACGUUCCCAGUCCUUACGAGCACGCCUCAGAGCAGUUACAGGGUCACGAAUAAGACUGUUUUUAAGGUUCUUCAUACAUACAAAGAGCUUUCCAGAAACUUGGCUCCAAUUUGUCUUUCUACCAGAAAUGCAACGCGCCUCCCUGUUCGCGACUCUGGGGCUGAUUUCACAGGGAGAAAACGGGUCGCGCCACGGCUUCGACCUGCGGUGCUCUGACUGCCAGGGCGAGCAGCUCUUCGUGGUCCUAGACUCUGCAUUUCUGUCUUGAGUUACUUGCAAGUCCUUUCCUUUUUGUCUUUUCUUUUGAGACAGGGUCCUACUAAGUUGCCCAGGUUGGCCUCAAACCUGCAAUCCUCCUGUCUCAGCCUCCUGAUUAGAGGUGUGACCACUACGCCUGACCCUUUCUUUUCUUCUAUUAGUUUUAUUAUUUGUAAUAUACAAACAAACAAGGGCCUGGGGCUGUGGCUCAGUGGCAGAGCACUCGGGUAGCAUG